rnacentral:tRNA from 1 species
CCGUGUGUAGGCUAGUCAGGUUAGGUCGUCUGGUUUGGGGUCAGAAAGUCGAAGGUUCGAAUCCUUCCACACGGA